rnacentral:rRNA from 1 species
AACGAACGCUGGCGGCAGGCCUAACACAUGCAAGUCGAACGCCCUAGCAAUAGGGAGUGGCAGACGGGUGAGUAACACGUGGGAACCUUCCCUAUAGUACGGAAUAGCCCAGGGAAACUUGGAGUAAUACCGUAUACGCCCGAAAGGGGAAAGAUUUAUCGCUAUAGGAUGGGCCCGCGUCGGAUUAGCUAGUUGGUGAGGUAAUGGCUCACCAAGGCAACGAUCCGUAGCUGGUUUGAGAGAAUGACCAGCCACACUGGGACUGAGACACGGCCCAGACUCCUACGGGAGGCAGCAGUGGGGAAUCUUGGACAAUGGGCGCAAGCCUGAUCCAGCCAUGCCGCGUGAGUGAGGAAGGCCUUAGGGUUGUAAAGCUCUUUUGUCGGGGACGAUAAUGACGGUACCCGAAGAAUAAGCUCCGGCUAACUUCGUGCCAGCCGCCGCAGUAA